CAUAUCUGAGAGUAACUGUUCAGGUAUUGACGGUAUUUAACCAGAAAGCCACGGCUAACUACGUGCCAGCAGCCGCGGUAAUACGUAGGUGGCAAGCGUUGUCCGGAUUUAUUGGGCGUAAAGCGAGCGCAGGCGGUUUUAAGUUCUGAUGUGAAAGCCUUCGGCUCAACCGAAGAAAGUGCAUCGGAAACUGGGAAACUUGAGUGCAGAAGAGGACAGUGGAACUCCCAUGUGUAGCGGUGAAAUAGCGUAGAUAUAUGGAAGAACACCAGUGGCGAAGGCGGCUGUCUGGUCUGUAACUGACGCUGAGGCUCGAAAGUAUGGGUAGCAAACAGGAUUAGAUACCCUGGUAG
rnacentral:rRNA from 1 species